UUUUUAUGGAGGAGAUGGGGAAAUUUAUUUCGGAGAUGAGUCUGGACAGGAUUCGCGCGUUCUUAUGAGGAUUCAAGAGGAGAAACUAUGACAAGUUCCAAGGCCACCCGUGGCGGACAGCACAAUUUACACAGGAUCUAGGAAAAUUCAUUUUGAACGAGUAUCUGGAUAGCGUUCGUGAGUCUCGAUGAGGGUACGACAAGUUCUAAGUUAAGUAGUUCUGUGAUUGAAAAUAAAAUGGUAGACUUGUAUGUUCCUAGUACUUUAUCGACUAUAUUAAUAUAUUUUCUAGGUCACCCGUGGCGGACAGCACAAUUCACACAGGAUCUAGGAAAAUUCAUUUUGUACGGGUGUCUAAGUAGGAUUCGUGAGUUUCGGCAAGUUUGCAUAAGUACCAAUUUUAGGACGUGUCGAUAUACUUUGCUGUAAGUUCGGUUACAACAGCAAAGGGUUGAGGAACAUUCAAGAACUUUUCAAGUCUACGUCUUUGCGAAAUCAGUUAGCACCUUCAAAACGAACCGUGUAUGCGCAGGAAUGUUAGCGUUGAUGCUUAUCGCGUUCGUAAAGUUAAACGUACGGUACAUACGUUUAAUUCUCCUACGUGUAAACGUUUCCAGUCACAAAUUAAGGAUAAACAACCAUCGACAUAAAAACAGAGAAUUUUCCAACAGAAAUUAAAGGACUUGAGCAUACGCACAACUGAAAAAGGAGUUGAAAAGAACUCUCUCCGUACGCAGAGUGCAGGCCACGCGCUCGACACCGAGCAGAAAAAGUCACAUUUCAUACAGAUAACGCGACGCGUAAGAACGAGCGGAGGUUUUUACGCGCGGUCGGAGAAAAUGAAGGAACGGAGUCGCGUUACUCAAGGAGCAACGUCGCAACGUACGCGGGACCAAAUAAAUGCACGACGGCGAAGGGUUAGAGGGGCGAUGGAGGGCAGACAAUAAUAUCCCGUAUUUUAUUUACCCUACCGUUUUCUGUGCCGUGGUUCGGUUCGCCCUUUUACUUUCCACCGUCUCCUCGUUGGGCUCAACGACAGGAUCGUCGAAGCAACGAAAAAGGAUUCGUGAUAGGUCGUGGUAGCUGGGCCCUGAAAACGAGAGAAAGGGAGGAAAGAAAGCAAAAAAGGAAAGAGAGAAGCGAAGUGAGAGUGGGCUAGAGAGGGAACGAGAGCGAGUGAUAAGAAGGAGAGAAAGGAGGAAAAGGAGGUCGACGAAGGGAGAGGGAGGCAGGCGCCGGGCGGAGGAGGGACGAGAAGAAGCGACGCGACGCGUGUGGUCCACCCCGUGCUUGACGACGAGCAGGACGAGACCAGAACGACGACAGCAUCUUAUCCGAGACCUCCGGAUCGAUCGAUCAAUGGCGAGAUCGAUGCCUUCUCGGUCGAGACCAAUCGAGUACGCGGCACGCUCGGGCGCACACAAGUAUUUUUCACCCUCCGGGCGGCGGCGACGAUCACGAGGUUCGCUGCAUCCACCGAAUCGCUAUCAGAAACGACGCGGACACGGACUACGUGAAAAACGAAGAUUCGUUUAACGAACUCUUUGGAUGUCGCACCCGUGGGGAAUUUUACCGACGACGGUACCAGGGAGAAUCUCGUAAGAGGGAAAAACGAUACGAGGACGAACGUUUUAGUCGGAGGAUUCUAAUUGAACGUUAUGAGAUAUCAGUUAGCAGACGAGCAAAUCAGAAUAUGGUAUAUAGAGAGUUUUAAAGGAAUCAAUAAACGUCGAUCGAGAAAUUGUUAUUUUCGGAAUUACGAAGGAAAUCGGUAGCUAUGGAAAUUACAAGUAGAGAAACUGGUAUUUUCAGGAUUUUAUUAUGAUAGAUAGCAAGU